ACCCGGGUGGUGGAAUUGGUAGACACGCCAGCUUGAGGGGCUGGUGCCCGUUUAGGGCGUGCUGGUUCGAGUCCAGUCCCGGGUA
rnacentral:tRNA from 1 species